ACAACCAAGUGAACCGGGCGGUGCCUCCGGCGGCGGCGGCUUGCUCCGAGGUUCACCGCGAGCACAGCGCCACCCCCGGUCCUCACAGCCCGUGUCUUCCUCUCAAUCCGUGCUUACGGUUCUGCCCCUAUGACCACGGCUCUGCGCCAGUUCCCGAGCGCCGGCAGGGCGGCGGGAAGCGACCCACCAUCAGCUGUACUAUAAACCGAAUUUGUUCACGGCCGUGGAAUGUGCACGCCUAUGGGAUUUUUUCGUGAUCUGCCACUGCUGACAUGCCCAAUCAUCUCAUCUCCCAUUUCAACAACCGUGCUGUUCAGCCAGCAUUGGCGGCAAUUCAUCUAGUCGUGGCAAAAUUUGGUACAUCCUCAGCACUUGAGAGAUCAGGAAAACAAGGGCGUGGCAACAUCCACAAUGUAUUGAGGGUCUUGGACCUUGUGCCAACCAAGCAACAUUAUGGCAAAAAUGAAGUUCCGUCCCAUCACCGCCUUAU